rnacentral:tRNA from 1 species
GCCAGCAUGGUGUAGUGGUUUGAAUGUUAGACUACGACUCAGGAGACCAGAGUUCGAUUCCCAGGUUGGCC